rnacentral:rRNA from 1 species
AUUGAACGCUGGCGGCAUGCUUUACACAUGCGAGUCGAACGGCAGCGCGGGCUUCGGCCUGGCGGCGAGUGGCGAACGGGUGAGUAAUGCAUCGGAACGUGCCCAGUAGUGGGGGAUAGCCCGGCGAAAGCCGGAUUAAUACCGCAUACGACCUGAGGGUGAAAGCGGGGGACCGAAAGGCCUCGCGCUAUUGGAGCGGCCGAUGUCGGAUUAGCUAGUUGGUGGGGUAAAGGCUUACCAAGGCGACGAUCCGUAGCUGGUCUGAGAGGACGACCAGCCACACUGGAACUGAGACACGGUCCAGACUCCUACGGGAGGCAGCAGUGGGGAAUUUUGGACAAUGGGGGCAACCCUGAUCCAGCCAUGCCGCGUGCGGGAAGAAGGCCUUCGGGUUGUAAACCGCUUUUGUUCGGGAAGAAAUCCUCUGGGCUAAUACCCCGGGGGGAUGACGGUACCGGAAGAAUAAGCACCGGCUAACUACGUG